rnacentral:rRNA from 1 species
UGACAAACCGGAGGAAGGUGGGGAUGACGUCAAGUCAUCAUGGCCCUUACGGCCUGGGCUACACACGUGCUACAAUGGUCGGUACAGAGGGUUGCCAAGCCGCGAGGUGGAGCUAAUCCCAUAAAACCGAUCGUAGUCCGGAUCGCAGUCUGCAACUCGACUGCGUGAAGUCGGAAUCGCUAGUAAUCGCGAAUCAGAAUGUCGCGGUGAAUACGUUCCCGGGCCUUGUACACACCGCCCGUCACACCAUGGGAGUGGGUUGCUCCAGAAGUAGUUAGUUUUACUCUCGGGAGGACGGUACCACAGAGUUCCCUGGGUUC